rnacentral:rRNA from 1 species
GUGUCAGCCGCCGCGGUAAUACGUAGGGGGCGAGCGUUGUCCGGAAUGAUUGGGCGUAAAGGGCGCGCAGGCGGCCUGUCAAGUCAGUAGUGGAAGUCCAUUUUUCAAGGAUGGAAGUGCUAUAGAAACUGAUGGGCUUGAGUGCAGGAGAGGUUAUCGGAAUUCCCGGUGUAGCGGUGAAAUGCGUAGAGAUCGGGAGGAACACCAGUGGCGAAGGCGGGUAACUGGACUGCAACUGACGCUGAGGCGCGAAAGUGUGGGGAGCAAACAGGAUUAGAUACCCUGGUAGUCCACACUGUAAACGAUGAAUGCUAGGUGUAGGGGGUAUCGACCCCUUCUGUGCCGAAGUAAACACAAUAAGCAUUCCGCCUGGGGAGUACGGUCGCAAGAUUAAAACUCAAAUAAAUUGACGG